GAGCGAAGAAGUAUUUCGGUAUGUAAAGCUCUAUCAGCAGGGAAGAAAAUGACGGUACCUGACUAAGAAGCACCGGCUAAAUACGUGCCAGCAGCCGCGGUAAUACGUAUGGUGCAAGCGUUAUCCGGAUUUACUGGGUGUAAAGGGAGCGCAGGCGGUACGGCAAGUCUGAUGUGAAAUCCCGGGGCUCAACCCCGGUACUGCAUUGGAAACUGUCGGACUAGAGUGUCGGAGGGGUAAGUGGAAUUCCUAGUGUAGCGGUGAAAUGCGUAGAUAUUAGGAGGA
rnacentral:rRNA from 1 species